rnacentral:rRNA from 1 species
CAAUACAUGCUGACGAGCGGCGAACGGGUGAGUAAUACUUUGGAAUCUUCCCAGUAGUGGGGAAUAACCAGUCGAAAGAUUGGCUAAUACCGCAUACGUCUGAAAAGGGAAAGCGGGGGAUCGCAAGACCUCGCGCUAUUGGAUGAGCCAAAGUCGGAUUAGCUAGUUGGUGGGGUAAUGGCCUACCAAGGCGACAAUCCGUAGCUGGUCUGAGAGGACGACCAGCCACACCGGAACUGAGACACGGUCCGGACUCCUACGGGAGGCAGCAGUGGGGAAUAUUGGACAAUGGGGGAAACCCUGAUCCAGCGACGCCGCGUGUGUGAAGAAGGCCUGCGGGUUGUAAAGCACUUUUAGUGGGGACAAAAAGCCAUUGACGAAUACUCGAUGGUCUUGAUUUAACCCAAAGAAAAAGCACCGGCUAACUCUGUGCCAGCAGCCGCGGUAAUACAGAGGGUGCGA